CAUGAGGUAGCAAUACCUUGAUGGCGACCGGCGCACGGGUGAGUAACGCGUAUGCAACCUGCCUGAUACCGGGGUAUAGCCCAUGGAAACGUGGAUUAACACCCCAUAGUACUUUUAUCCUGCCUGGGAUGUGAGUUAAAUGUUCAAGGUAUCGGAUGGGCAUGCGUCCUAUUAGUUAGUUGGCGGGGUAACAGCCCACCAAGACGAUGAUAGGUAGGGGUUCUGAGAGGAAGGUCCCCCACAUUGGAACUGAGACACGGUCCAAACUCCUACGGGAGGCAGCAGUGAGGAAUAUUGGUCAAUGGACGUAAGUCUGAACCAGCCAAGUCGCGUGAGGGAAGACUGCCCUAUGGGUUGUAAACCUCUUUUAUAAGGGAAGAAUAAGUUCUACGUGUAGAAUGAUGCCUGUACCUUAUGAAUAAGCAUCGGCUAACUCCGUGCCAGCAGCCGCGGUAAUACGGAGGAUGCGAGCGUUAUCCGGAUUUAUUGGGUUUAAAGGGUGCGUAGGCGGUUUAUUAAGUUAGUGGUUAAAUAUUUGAGCUAAACUCAAUUGUGCCAUUAAUACUGGUAAACUGGAGUACAGACGAGGUAGGCGGAAUAAGUUAAGUAGCGGUGAAAUGCAUAGAUAUAACUUAGAACUCCGAUAGCGAAGGCAGCUUACCAGACUGUAACUGACGCUGAUGCACGAGAGCGUGGGUAGCGAACAGGAUUAGAUACCCUGGUAGUCCACGCCGUAAACGAUGCUCACUGGUUCUGUGCGAUAUAUUGUACGGGAUUAAGCGAAAGUAUUAAGUGAGCCACCUGGGGAGUACGUCGGCAACGAUGAAACUCAAAGGAAUUGACGGGGGCCCGCACAAGCGGAGGAACAUGUGGUUUAUUCUCUUCGGAGCGUUUUUCAAGGUGCUGCAUGGUUGUCGUCAGCUCGUGCCGUGAGGUGUCGGGUUAAGUCCCAUAACGAGCGCAACCCUUACCGUUAGUUGCUAGCAUGUAAUGAUGAGCACUCUAACGGGACUGCCACCGUAAGGUGAGAGGAAGGCGGGGAUGACGUCAAAUCAGCACGGCCCUUACACCCAGGGCUACACACGUGUUACAAUGGCCGGUACAGAGGGCCGCUACCAGGUGACUGGAUGCCAAUCUCAAAAGCCGGUCGUAGUUCGGAUUGGAGUCUGUAACCCGACUCCAUGAAGUUGGAUUCGCUAGUAAUCGCGCAUCAGCCAUGGCGCGGUGAAUACGUUCCCGGGCCUUGUACACACCGCCCGUCAAGCCAUGGAAGCCGGGGGUGCCUGAAGUCCGUAACCGCGAGGAUCGGCCUAGGGCAAAACUGGUAACUGGGGCUAAGUCGUAACAAGGUAGCCGUACCGGAAGGUGCGGCUG
rnacentral:rRNA from 1 species